UCUGGUGCUUUUUGUGCUAAGGCCUGAAGGUGUCUGGAGCACUGGACUGUGAUAUGAUGUGGAGCUGGAGGGAAAAUGAGCACCUGGAGGAGAACUGACCGGGCUGUAGGCAGCACAUGAUGGAUGGAUGGGCUGAGACAGCGUGAUCACAUAAGCUGCAUUCCCCUGGGAAACCAGACUGAAAACACAUAAGGUUUUUUUUCCUGGGUGUUGUAUGUGCUUGCUUGUCACCAGCCGGACCUAUGAAUGUAAUUGAACAUGGAGAAAGUGACAAGAUCAAGCCCUAAAUCUGCGGUGUGAUAACUUCUGUUCUAAAAAGCAGAGCUGGAGGCAACAAGGGUCUGUGGUUUCCUUUGUACACUCAUUUCAACCAACAGGACAGCAAUGCUGUUACAGCUAGGCUGUGUUACUAGUUGUUCUAACAAUAUGUAAAUUAUUAAGACUGCAAACAGCAGCAAUGAAGUCGAAGAUAUGAGAGUAUGCAGUAUGCUACAUGAAGAACAAUUUUAUGUCAUUAAAAUGGUUUUGGCAGACUAACUUGCACA